rnacentral:rRNA from 1 species
GACGUAGGGCGCAAGCGUUGUCCGGAUUUAUUGGGCGUAAAGAGCUCGUAGGCGGCUUGUUGCGUCGGCUGUGAAAACCCGCGGCUUAACCGCGGGCUUGCAGCCGAUACGGGCGGGCUGGAGUUCGGAAGAGGAGAAUGGAAUUCCCGGUGUAGCGGUGAAAUGCGCAGAUAUCGGGAAGAACACCCGUGGCGAAGGCGGUUCUCUGGGACGGUACUGACGCUGAGACGCGAAAGCGUGGGGAGCGAACAGG